UCCGUAGGCGGUUUUGUAAGUCAGUGGUGAAAGCCCAUCGCUCAACGGUGGAACGGCCAUUGAUACUGCAAGACUUGAAUUACUAGGAAGUAACUAGAAUAUGUAGUGUAGCGGUGAAAUGCUUAGAUAUUACAUGGAAUACCAAUUGCGAAGGCAGGUUACUACUAGUGGAUUGACGCUGAUGGACGAAAGCGUGGGGAGCGAACA
rnacentral:rRNA from 1 species